ensembl:lncRNA
GUUUUUCUCCGUCGAAGAACUCCCGCAGCGCGGGCUCACCCCGCCCAGUUGCCAUUAGUUACCCGGACGCGCCUUCUAUCCUAUAUCCACGUAAAAUGCUCCCUGCUGUCACUUUUGGGACACUCCCCUCACCCACUGCCCCCAGAGGCCGACACAGUUUCGCAACAGCCUUCUCAAGACUUCCUCAGAGCCCCUUAAUUGCGGGACCCGUCAAGGCUUGGGGGCCCCAGGUCCUCCCCAAGAGCCAACUCUCGGCUCACUCCAUCCUAUUCUUGGGAGCUGAGCAGCGGCACAUUCCUCACCGUUGUCUCCCCGCCUGAAGGAGGAGGAUAAAAGGUGACACGAGGCCCUUGGCUUUCUCUGAAGGCUCUUCUGGGCUCUUCCGUCAUCUCGCAAGUAGCUGGACCCGUGCCAGGAGAAUGUGACGUACAGAGAAUCAGUUUCACGUUGGCACCUUCAGUCACAAUCACAUCACUCUCGUAUCAUUUGAAUAUACCUUCUUGUGAAAGGAGAGCAUAUCUUAUGAAAAGUGCACAGAUCAUGAGCACUCGAGACCCCUGGCCUUCCUGCCUGUUACCCUCUCAAAGUGAAGACUGGUGUUACAAUGGAGCACCAAAGAUUGCUGCAAACCACCAGAAGCUAGGAGAGAUACCUGGAAGAGAUUCUUCCUCAGAACCCUCAGAAGUCCUCUGCUGACCCCUUGACUUCAGACCUCUAACCUCCAGUGUAUGAGACAAUAAAUUUCUAUUCUUUAAG